UUUAUUCUUCUUCUCUGCUGCUCUUUACGCUCCUACCCAAAUCUUAGGAUUCAAACCUUUGUUUAGGAGAGAAUCAAAGCGACGGGUAAGUUAUUCUCCCUGUUCUCAACAGAUUUCUAAUCACUCUAUUAGGGUUUAUAUUGGCACGAUUCUAAGAUGGUUAUAGAUCAUAAUGCAUGAUUUAGAAUGUAUUUAGGCUUUGUUUAGGGUUUUGAUUUAUUAUGAGUUUAGUUAAUCAAUCCUUGACGUACUAAGCACAGGAUAAUUCUGGACAGCAUGAGUAUCUCGAAUUUAAACCUAUAUUUUCUGAACGAAUUUUCUUAUAAAAUUUAUAUUUCUGGAAACUAGACAUGUAGGGCUUCUUGAUUAAAUUUUAUUUCAUUAAAUUCGACUUCGUUUUCAAUUUUAUACUUUUGAUCAUUAGAGCUAGAACAUUUUUUUUUUUAUUGUUUUAUUAUUUUCUAGUUUAGAAUUGAUCAAUUUUUGACAAAUUUGAAAAUGCAUUUGGUUGCUUUUUUCUGCUGUACCCUACAUCCGCCUUGGCCGUACAUAUAUGUGUCUAGGAUUCCCAGUUUUAAUUUCAUAAUUUUUAUUUUAUAAAAAUCACGAAACCCGUUUUGUUUAGUUUAGAUUAUGUGAAAACAGUUUCGAAUUUGCUGAGAAGUAAAUAGUUUUUAAAAUGUUUUUGAUAUCAGAUCCUCUUGUAAAUUUUACAUGGGGUACUCAUGGAUGUCCAGAAUAGUUCCAUAGGAUAUUAUAUCAUUCUGAGUCUUAGAUUAAGAGUUAAAAUUCUGAGAAUCAAACCUGUACAGGUAUGAAUUAGAAAAUCAGAUUCUUAGAAUAAAUUAUUGAUUGUCAUAUCUUGUAUUUGUUUAAGGUAUUGAAGGUGAUUGAGGCUCUUAGAAGCUUAGAGGUGUGUUUAUUCAUUCAUUUGUCGAGGUAAGUAACUUCAUUCCUAAUGUACUGGAUAUGUAUAGGUAUUUUGAUAUUAUUAUUAUAAGUAUAAAUGUUUUGAUA
rnacentral:lncRNA from 1 species